rnacentral:lncRNA from 1 species
UUUGGUAAGGCCAACGCAUUGACAAAUGCGUGCCUGCUGCUCCGUCUUUUUUUUUUUCAACCUCCAACACUAUUAGCAAUGAAAGCCAUCACGUGGAUCUGCCUUAAUUAAUUUCAUAAAUUUUAAUAUUAAUGCUUUAUAAUUUUUGUUUUAUAAAAAAUUCAUAGCUAUCCUAUUUAUUUGUUUAUAUAUAGGCGGUUCCAUCUUGAACACUUGGAGGGUUCGUCAACCGUUUUCCUUGGACCAUCUCCAUUGCUUGAUGGCCACCACCAUUAACUUCAAUCAUUAAUCUCUCCCACAUAUCAGUAUCUUCACCAGCCCACACUUUCAAACGACCCCAGUUCAUUGAACAUCAAUAACGACGGCCGAUUCAGUAUUCCGGGGGUUGUCGAUUGUCAUUGUGUGUUCUGGGCAAAAGAAGAAAAAGAGGAGCAAAGCCAUGUUUCAUUUCCAGGGAAGGAGCCUUCAUUAACAGACUCCGAUCUUUAACCUUUGAGGUCCACCUUCUACGGGUUGAACAAGCACAGUCCCUUGUUGGGUAAAUAUUCCUCUCUAAAUGCAUGUAAUAUUCGUGACAUUUUUAAAGCAUGGAUUAAGCAUUUCUGUUACAGAUUAUUACUUCUGUUUUCUUGCUGUCCAUCAUUAUUAUUUUUUUGGUAGAAAAAAUAGAAGUAAUUACAUUAAAAAUUAUUUAAAUUUGU